ACACGGCACAUUGAGAGAACAAAAGCCCCAUGGCCAGACUGGGAAAGCAGGGCUGCGGCGCAAGAGGGCCAACUGCCAGGCUGCCGGCUAAGUCCCAUCAGCCAUGGAAACACCAUUGCUCUCUUCUUCCGGUCACUGUUGCCAAACUAUACCAUGGAGGGGGAGAGGCCCGAGGAAGGAGUGGCUGGGGGUCUGAACCGCAACCAGGGCCUGAACAGGCUGAUGCUGGCUGUGCGCGACAUGAUGGCCAACUUCCACCUCAACGACCUGGAGGCGCCGCACGAGGACGACGCUGAGGGGGAGGGGGAGUGGGACUGAGCGUCCGCAGAGGUGACCAAAAAGCUGUAUGAUGAUGUUCCCGAUUUCUGUGCUGGUCGGAGUCGGCCAGUUGCCUGAAGUAGGGAAGCUGACUGUGUCGCUCCCUGGUCCACUGUUUCUCCUAUAAAUGUAAAUGGGUCA
rnacentral:sRNA from 1 species